rnacentral:rRNA from 1 species
GACGAACGCUGGCGGCGUGCUUAACACAUGCAAGUCGAACGGAAAGGCCCUGCUUUUGUGGGGUGCUCGAGUGGCGAACGGGUGAGUAACACGUGAGUAACCUGCCCUUGACUUUGGGAUAACUUCAGGAAACUGGGGCUAAUACCGGAUAGGAGCUCCUGCUGCAUGGUGGGGGUUGGAAAGUUUCGGCGGUUGGGGAUGGACUCGCGGCUUAUCAGCUUGUUGGUGGGGUAGUGGCUUACCAAGGCUUUGACGGGUAGCCGGCCUGAGAGGGUGACCGGCCACAUUGGGACUGAGAUACGGCCCAGACUCCUACGGGAGGCAGCAGUGGGGAAUAUUGCACAAUGGGCGGAAGCCUGAUGCAGCAACGCCGCGUGCGGGAGGACGGCCUUCGGGUGGUAAACCGCUUUCGCCUGUGACGAAGCGUGAGUGACGGUAAUGGGUAAAGAAGCCCGGCUAACUACGUG